AUUAAAGAAGCAUUUGGCCAAGCAACUAUCUCUGAAAUAUUUUCAGAGCUUCUCUGGUUUUACAUGCAUAGUAAAUAUUUUAUUUAAAUUAGAUAAAAAUAUGGGUCCCCAUCUAUAUACCUUGCUCAACUAUCCUCAGACCAGAUCCAGAAUUCACCCUGCUAUUUCUCAAGAGUCUGACCUGCAUGAACAGCCUCCCUUAUUCUGCGAUCCCAGUUUUGGAGAUCAAGGACAAGUUCAUUCUGGGUUGGCUGUGUUCAACUACUUUAGGCCAGCUACAUGCCCACUGGAAGCCAGGCUCUUGCCAACAGCUGUCUCCACAUUCCUCUUUCUAUGUCUGUUAUUUGUCUCCAGGUUCUGAUAACUACUUCCUCCUUUUACCCCUUCUGGCCUAGGGUGCCACCAAUCCCUCCUCCCAAUCGUGCUUUCACUAGCCUCUAAGUACUUGUAGCUUCCUCCCUUUACCUUCAUCUUAAUAAAUUAUCCCCCUACUAUCUCUCUUCAAAGCACCCAA